rnacentral:rRNA from 1 species
GGGUCAGUAGGUUGGUCGUGCCACCGGUACGUACUGGUCUCACUGAUUCCUCCUUCCUGAAGAACCGUAAUGCCAUUAAUUUGGUGUUGCGGGGAAACAGGACUGUUACUCUGAAAAAAUCAGAGUGUUUAAAGCAAGCUAACGCUUGAAUACAUUAGCAUGGAAUAAUGAAAUAGGACGAUCGAUCCUAUUUUGUUGGUUUCUAGGAUUGACGUA